GAUUGGGCGGUGCCCCGCCCCCCUCCUGCAGUGUCCGCGAGCCACAGCUCCACUUUAGUUUUGUUAUUUAAUGUUUUGAACUUUCCUACUGACUGUCUCUUCUGAAUACUGGGUCCAUCUGUCUUCUGUUCAUGACAAAAUCUCCACCUUGGAUCUUUUCAUGAUAUGCUAAUUAGCCACAUCUACGGUAGCUACGGCCACAGCGCAUAGACAUGCUAUUGAAAAGGGGCAUUCUUCCCAUUCAUAAUUGCAUUCCUAUACUUAAAAAAGUUGUUUCCUUUUUUUUUUCUUUUUUUUUUGCAGUAUUUGAAGUUGCACCAGAUCAGAGUAGGAGUUUGAAGAAUGUGGAUCUUUGUCAGCAGUGGAUGUUUUGAUCUAAGAUGUGAAUCAAACACACAACAGUGAGGUGUUUGGACGUCCUCGGAGAGGUUUCCCGAAACAGUGAACGCACCAUCUGGAAAGACGCAGUUGCUAUCUGAUUGGGCUCAUUAGCGCCACCUGUGGAUUGUGGGAGUAUCUACAGAGGGGGAGAAGGUUGAGAGAAAUGCCGAAGAGACAAUAAACUGAAAAGUACCUCACAACUCGAAACAGCUCGACCUGAAUACCUCAAAUUGCAUAAUGACAACCAUAAGGCGCAAAGCUGUCUGGAUUCCAGAAGUUUGGAGCUCCUUUCCUACCCUGGAUAAUGUUCUUACUGAUGACCUCACCAAAGGUGAAGCAACAGGAGGUAGAAGAUUGGUCCAGUGGAGGGGAAACAGCUGACAAUCAACACUCAGAGGAAAUCUAGCUACACAGAAACCUGGCCCUUAAUGGAGGAGAGUGCACUCUAGUUGGACCAAUUCUGCCCUUAGGAUGACAAUAGCUGUAACACAUCAGCUGCCUUGGUUCCAUUUCCUGCACCUGUUGAACACCACAGUAAGAUACAGUGAUGCCACUAAUAUUUAGUGUGAUUUUUGAAAACCUGAAAAUAUGUCAUAUACUGCUUUGAUUGGGCCUAUUUCACAAAACAAAUAUUAAGUCUGGAUUUUCUGGAUAUCCUGGCUUAAUGAAGCCUGAAGUUUUAUGAAAGCAUUAAAACAUCAGUUUCCAUGGUGAUUUAUUUUGUUCAGCUACCCCGUUCCCUACCAGGCUAACAACAAGCAUGCUGGAGCCUGGUCCCUAAUCUGUUUAGUGAUUCUGUUACCUCAUCUGCAUGUUUUUUAUUAUUAUUUUUUUUAUCAGCCUGCAGACAUGCUGCUUUUCACCCUAAUUGUGAUACAAACUGUAAAGCUAUAACCUAUAAGACAAAAUCCAAAACAAGUUGCUUCUCAUUUCUAACAAAGACAUGGUUAUUCUCAGCAAUACCCGGAAUGAUGCUCUGGUUUUGCAUAAGAUUUGAAAACAACCUAAAUCUGAGUUG